UACGUAGGGUGCGAGCGUUAAUCGGAAUUACUGGGCGUAAAGCGUGCGCAGGCGGUUCGUGAUGUCUGGUGUGAAAGCCCCGGGCUUAACCUGGGAAUUGCAUUGGAAACUAGCGGGCUGGAGUGUGGCAGAGGGGGGUGGAAUUCCCGGUGUAGCGGUGAAAUGCGUAGAGAUGCGGAGGAACACCGAUGGCGAAGGCAGCCCCCUGGGCUGACACUGACGCUCAGGCACGAAAGCGUGGGGAGCAAACAGG
rnacentral:rRNA from 1 species